rnacentral:rRNA from 1 species
AGUGAACGCUGGCGGUAGGCCUAACACAUGCAAGUCGAACGGCAGCACAGUAAGAGCUUGCUCUUACGGGUGGCGAGUGGCGGACGGGUGAGGAAUACAUCGGAAUCUACUUUUUCGUGGGGGAUAACGUAGGGAAACUUACGCUAAUACCGCAUACGACCUACGGGUGAAAGCAGGGGAUCUUCGGACCUUGCGCGAUUGAAUGAGCCGAUGUCGGAUUAGCUAGUUGGCGGGGUAAAGGCCCACCAAGGCGACGAUCCGUAGCUGGUCUGAGAGGAUGAUCCGCCACACUGGAACUGAGACAAGGUCCAGAGUCCUACGGGAGGCAGCAGUGGGGAAUAUUGGACAAUGGGCGCAAGCCUGAUCCAGCCAUACCGCGUGGGUGGAGAAGGCCUUCGGGUUGUAAAGCCCUUUUGUUGGGAAAGAAAAGCAGCAGGUUAAUACCCCGCUGUUCUGACGGUACCCAAAGAAUAAGCACCGGCUAACUUCGUG